GAAGAUAUGAUAUUGAAGUACGUCUCGAGAGGAAUCCGUGAGCGCAAACGGCGACCAAAUCCGAGUCCGGACGAGGGAGAACGGAGCAAAACGAGCAGACUGUGCAAAACGCCCAGUACCCCGCGGUCACCACCCGCGGCCGCGGGGUAAGACCGCGGGUCAGCUGUUCCCGACUCAGGAGACACCCGCGGUCACCACCCGCGGCCGCGGGGCGGGACCGCGGGUCCCCUGAGCAUCCCCCACGUUUGAAGGCCGCGGACGCGGGCCGUGACCGCGGGAAAAGGGCGGGGCUUCCCCCAAGUGGGCCCCAGACGCGAUUUUAGCCCCAAAACUCCAUUUUUUCCCUUCUUUUCUAACAUCAUUCACCACACACACCCACUUCAUCUUCCCCAACUCUCCAAUCCCAAACCCUAGCCUCCAUUCUCUACCAUUUUUUCUCUCUUCCACACACAAAAACAACACCAAAAUCAAAUAAAGAAGGGGAAGACUUGGAAAGGAGCUCAUCAAGACUAC
rnacentral:lncRNA from 1 species